UACAGUACCUGACCAGGGUACUGUAGCUUGGGACUUACUUCCACCGUGGUUAUAUGUUAAAGGUAUCCUGAUCCUUCCACCGUCUUCUUGAUCCUUCCACCGUCUUCCUUUUAUCUCCCACCGCUUCUUCAUCUCCAUCCUUCCACAAGGUUUCUCUUAGCAGAUCCUCUAUUCGCACACUGAUGAGGAGCACGAACGCAACAGAUCAGGGAGGUGGGGAGGAUGGUUCGAUGGUGCCAAAUCUGUUGAGUAGGGGAACCGACUUAAUCCUCCAAAACUCUCAAAUGUUUACCAAUCGACCACCGCAUCAUAGAUUCGUAUUUGUUUCGUGCCCUACCCUUAAUCUGUUGAGUAGGAGAACCGCCUUAAAAUUUUAGAUCUUGCUAGCAGACCCUUUGGAAAUCCCCAUCUAAUCGACUCUUCAUCUUUUUAGUCUUUCUUCAUUCUCUCGAUUGUUCUGUCUGGUAAAAGCACCGCCUCAAAUAGUUGGAUACCUUUACUCCUCUCCACUGACUCCUUCCACUUUCCCCUUCUUACGACCAUGUUAACAAAUUGAAACCCCAUCGUUGAAAAAUGAAGAAUUCCAGGAUUGCUUCCAAAAUUGAGCGAUGAUUUCUCAUCGCCUGGUACAAUCGGCUGACUACAGGGAACAACAACGGUCCACCAGCCUACAUACGUAUUAACGUAUGUUUCUUUAUGUGUAUGUGCUGAAUCGAGACUUCAAGGGUUUAAUUGGGCUAACUGAUACCUCUCAUGCUCUCCUAUUCAUUUGUAAAUCGAAAAACGCUACAUACAACGACCGUUAUUGACUGUAGAUCAUCAUCUCUAUGUUGUCUCGACCGGUAUCUCCAUAUUCUGUUUCCGCUAACUGCCUCCUUGAUCCUUCUCCUUCUAGGAGUUUCAUCCGAUUCGGGUUUAUGGGAUUGUACACCUCAAAUUCAAAAGGUUUCACCUGGAAACUCACUUCAUGUUUGUGAUGUUAGAGAAAGACGAUAUGAACGAGACGAAGAAGAUAAGUUCAGUAAAUCGCACCCCUGAUUAAUACAUCAUUUAUGCGGUCGAUUUGUGAGUCUCAAAAUUAGAUGAUGAUUUACUGUCUUGAAAUUGUUUUUGGGUACUCCACAAGUUGACAAUGUAUUUGCGGUACCAGUUAUCGACACCUAUGUACAAAGAGAAGAUGAUUGAAUGCAAGUGGUACAACUUGAUGUGAUGAAUCUAAUAUAGAAAAGAGCUUAAAUCUGAAUUUUAGUUGUUCAAACUUGUCAAUUUACGCACUGAACACAAGGAUGAAUCUGAUAGUAGAGAAGACGAGGAGUCAAUUUUGAUUUUGCACAUGCCAACAGUCAAUUGUCAAUCAAGAUUUUGAUAUCUAUAGGUAUAAAUUGAGGAAGUAUUGAAGGUGGAUGAUGAAGGACUUUUUUAUUCAAAAAGCCCAAAGUCAUAGUUGAAGAUUUAUAUAGACAAAUUUUUUUGGCAAACAUAUAAGGCCGAUUGGCAUCCAUUCUCAAAGAUUAUGCUUUCUAUUGAGAUGCAGAUUUGAUGACUAUGGAAAGAAAGGGAUUAUUGUAUGGAUCUGAUGGGUUACCACAUCUGAUAGUAAGUGGAGAUAAAAGUCAUGGGGGUGAGUUUAUUACACCAGGGAUUCCGUUUAAGUGUUGAAGGCAUAAGGGUAAAUUGGUAAUUAUUUAUUUAACAUCCUUUUUAGCAUGACAAAUACAAAUACAUUGAUAAUUUAAAAGCAUGUUACAUGACUGAAAUCAAUGAGGGACCAAAUGCAAUUGCUUUAGCAUUGUUGACUGUCAAUUAUAAUUUGAUGCAAAUUUUUAUUUAUUUUUAAUAUAUUUUUUUUCCUUACCAAUAUUUUGAUUUUCAAACCAGAUUUGGUAUCAUGUUAACUUUAGUAAAGAAGACAAAUUCCUUUAAGCAGUUGAUUUAAAAGCAAAAAACUUUAUGAUUUACAAUGCUUAUAAUGGGUGUAGAAGGUGGAAACUAUAGCUUAAAACAUACAUGUUUCCCUCCAACCCAUCCAAAAAUCAAAACUUAUAAGACUUUUAUGUUUUUCUUCACUUGGGGUUUGGAGGAAUGGCGACAAUUGGAAUCCACAAACCCCGGUUUAUAAUUCCGCCCUACUAUGGACUUUGGAAAAUCUUUGUGAUAGCAGUCGACUUCCACAUCCUUAUCAACUACUGAUUUCCACAGGCUUAUCAACGACGGAUUCAUCAACCCUUAUGUGAAAUCAUGGAGGGGCACAGGACAUUAUUAGAUCCAUCAGGCUGAAUAAAAUUUUGUUGGGGAAACAUAAUUUUCAAUUGGUUCUCAUUUAAGGUUUCUGGUAAUGUUUUAGUGAGUUCGAAGUAUCCUAAUGAUUUUGGUCCAUGUUCUAAGUAAAAUGACUAUAUUACCCUUUCUCUAAUUAUUUUACGAAGUUUUAAUUAUUUUGAUCAGGAUUCUUAUUGACUUUUUGGUGGGUUUUUGUCCCUCUUGCUAUUGUUAUGUUGCAUAUGGUGAAGGGUAGUUUGGUAAAUUUAGAAUUAUUUCAAAGGAAGUGAUGCAAUUUUAGUAACUAAAGUUAAAAAAGGGUGCAACUUUUUGGUGGCUAGAUAUGGAAUAUGAGAUGUACUCCUAACUUUUAUUGAAAAUGUGUUGCAGGGAUUGGAUUCUAACAGUAAUCAUUUUUGUGGAUAAGUUUUUGUAAGUAUUUAGUUUUGCAAAAUGGCAAAAAAGUAAAUUUUCAAUGUAUAUCAUAGUCCUUUUCAGAAAUUUGAUUCGGGUUCGGCCGUGGAGGUUGGAAUGAAGCUUUUGUGCAGCAGCAAAGACCAUUUUGUGAUGUUUUUAUGCCACAAAGAGAAAUUCGGUAAUGUUUCUCUACCACAUUUGUCAUUUGUGUGAUAUUUUUGUGUACAUGGACUAUUUUGUAAUAUUUUUAUGUAUACAGACCAUUUUUCUAAUAUUUUUCUACA